ACUGUGUGCCGGAGAGGUGGCCACCUCUCACGGUCACUUGACCGGCCAACCCGCUAGAUGACUCACGGUCACUGGUGUACACUAGCCCUGGCAGGAUAGCUAUCAACUGCUCAGGACUCGAAUUCGAUUGCAUCAUUGGCAAAGCCAAAGCAGAUAGAUAUCAUACUAAAAUUUAAACAUUUUAUGGCAAGACAAUACUUGAAAUAACUUUAACUCAAAGAUUUUGUAACGAAAUAACUUGCUCAAAUGUAACAUUAAACUCAUUUGAUUGAUAUAUAAAACUGAAAUUAACAGUUAAAUCAUCUCAUGCAUUCAUUCGUAUAAGAGGCCUACGACACGCAGGGGAUCUCUAUAUACGUAUAGUAAAAGUAAUGCCUACCUCAUUCCGUUCCCACUAGGGGCGUAGAGUUACCUCCUUCUUUAGCUUUCACUUCCCGUCUGGACCUUUAUUGACGAAGAGUCGAUAAGUUCGAGAAGAAAGUCGUGUAAGAAAGGAAGAUAGGUCUCUAAACUAAACUAUCUCCUUUAAUGAUUUUAGGGUUCUAGCAUCCAUAUUAAUCUUGUUUCGUCUCGUUCAAAAACCUUAAACUCAAAACAUUUAUCACAUAACUAACAUUUAGGUUCGAACUAUUUAUUCGAACAUCAACAUGCGCAUUAAUCAUAACUCGUUCUAUUUAUGUCAUCAAGUCAAAUAUUCUGUCAUCUUAAAAACAAAUCCUAUAAUAUCACAUAGAUAAAUUAUAUCAUCAUAGAUCAUGAUUUCUCAUAUUUAAAAUCAUUUAAUCAUUUUCAAAUAAUCCAUAUUAAUAAGUCAUUUGAAAAGAAUUAAUUUAAAUAAGAGUUUAACUCAAAAUAUUUUACUUUAAAAUCCAUUUAUAAAUACUUGAAAUAAAGAACUCCAUUUAAAUAAUUAAUUUAAAGGUCAAUAUAUAAUUAAAUUAAUCAAGCUCAAUUUAAAUUAAUAAUUAAGAGCUCAAAUAAUUUAAAUAGAUAUAAGCCCAAAUUAAUUAGAUAAAUUAAGUCUAUCAUAUAUAUAUAUUUUUUUUAAUCAAGGCCCAAACAUUUAAAAAUUAACAAAUGCCCAAAACUUUUAAAUGAAAUAAGCCCAUUAUAAAUAAAUAGAACAUGGCCCUAUAAAAACAAGCCCAACUACUUAUUAAAAACGGCCCAAAACCCGGCCCAAAACCCGGCCCAACCUCAAACACCCUAACCCAAACCCUUCUUCUUUUCUUCCCCCUUCUUCUACCUAAGCUGCGCCCCUCCCCCUUCAUUCUCGUCUCUCUCUCUUCUCCCACUCUCGGCGCCUCUGCGCUCUCUCCGCCGCCGCCGCCGUUCAAUGGCGCCAUCGCCGCCGACGAGCGGCGCUCUGCUCUCCCUCGGCAUCUCUCCUCUUCCUCUCGGUUCUCUCCCUCUCUCUCAGUUCUCACUGACUCACACACACACGCACGCAGACACGGCGUAAGCCGCGCCGCCGCGUCGUCUUCUUCCCCGGCGAGGACAGCACCGGUCAGCCAUCUCCCUUCUCUCGACUCCGGCAGCAGUAGCAGCAGCUGUUAAUGAAGCCAGCCACCGCCGAAGCCCUGAAUCACCGACUCCCUCGAAUCCGGCGACCACAGGACAGCCAUGGCCGCCGCCCUUCCUCCCUCCGAUUUCCGGCGAAGCCGCAGCCGCAGCCGCCGACAACCCAGAACGGAAACCACCCUGUGGCUCCGCCGCCGUCCGUCGACCACCGGCAGCCACCGCGGCUGCCGUCUCCCUCGGAUCUCACACAAAACAGGGGCUCACCCCAGAUUUCAUUCAAACACUUAGCAUAGGGUUUUUGUGCAAAAACAUAUACUGCAAAGUCAUACACUGUAAAUAUGAAAUUAUAAAUAUCAUGUACUGUAAUGCUUAUAAAAUCUGAAAUUCUUUUCUUGCAAUAAAACACUCAGUGUAGAAAUUUCAGUUCA